GACGAACGCUGGCGGCGUGCUUAACACAUGCAAGUCGAACGGAAAGGCCCUGCUUUUGUGGGGUGCUCGAGUGGCGAACGGGUGAGUAACACGUGAGUAACCUGCCCUUGACUUUGGGAUAACUUCAGGAAACUGGGGCUAAUACCGGAUAGCAGCUCCUGUUGCAUGGUGGGGGUUGGAAAGUUUCGGCGGUUGGGGAUGGACUCGCGGCUUAUCAGCUUGUUGGUGGGGUAGUGGCUUACCAAGGCUUUGACGGGUAGCCGGCCUGAGAGGGUGACCGGGCACAUGGGGACUGAGAGACGGCCCAGACGCCUACGGGGGGCAGCAGUGGGGAAUAUUGCACAGUGGGCGGAAGCCUGAUGCAGCAACGCCGCGUGCGGGAUGACGGCCUUCGGGUUGUAAACCGCUUUCGCCUGUGACGAAGCGUGAGUGACGGUAAUGGGUAAAGAAGCACCGGCUAACUACGUG
rnacentral:rRNA from 1 species